GACGAACCGUGCGAACGUUGUUCGGAUUCACUGGGCUUAAAGGGCGCGUAGGCGGGUGUCCAAGUCUGGGGUGAAAUCCUUCGGCCCAACCGGAGAACAGCCUCGGAUACUGGAUGUCUCGAGGGGGGUAGGGCACGCGGAACUUCCGGUGGAGCGGUGAAAUGCGUAGAUAUCGGAAGGAACGCCGGUGGCGAAAGCGGCGUGCUGGACCCCUCUGACGCUGAGGCGCGAAAGCCAGGGGAGCGAACGGG
rnacentral:rRNA from 1 species